GUGAAUCAUCGAAUUUUUGAACGCAAAUUGCACUCUCUUCGGAGAGUAUGCCUGUUUGAGGGUCAGCCUAAAAAAAAAAUCAACAUAGUCGCUUUUUCCCGGUGACUUUCUUGGUAAAUUGGGUAAUUUUAAACCUUUGGGUUUUAAGGGGCUUAAAUUUUUCUUUACGUUUCACCAACCGUUUUUAAAAUUUAUUUUUUAUACGUUUA
rnacentral:misc_RNA from 1 species